AACACUAGCAACGUUGCUGAUUAUUAUUUCUUAUCAGUGAAUAAAUGCAACUGAGUUCAGCAAAGCAAGCUCUCAUCGAGAACAGAAUAGUACGCGCUAAACGAAAAACAAAUCAAUGGACGUAACAAUUCCAAAUCCAAUAUCGACAUUUCUCUCCAUUCACAGGACUUCGCUCUCUCGUGUUUGUUUUGAUUGGGUAGCAAAAUCUCACCCGUUAUAGACAAAUAUCGUUUAUCAGAUUGAUAAUAUUCAUAAUCAGUGUCACCGAGUAUGUCAACGAAUCAGUUUGGUCCACUGUAAGCAAAACGUAUCAAAGUUCAACAGCAGCCAAGGAACAAGCUCCGCCUAAGCCCAAAAUGCUACUAGAGGUAAUAACUCGUCCAGCGACAACGCUGUUCGAACAGCUAGCCAUUCUGAUAAAACUACCGGCGGCCACAGUUUACAUCAUCACGAAGGGCGUUUUUCUGCUCGUCAACACGUUAACUAAAUUCGGACGAAUGAUAAAUCAAUGAUGCACGAAAGGAUACUUUAUUUCGCCUGUUCAGUUUUCGUGAGAGCGAGAAUCGCUUCGCAAGCCGCGUUUGUAUUGUCUGUAGAUAAAACUCGAAAAUAUCAAAAAGGAUUUUUUAUAUUGUAUUUAUACAUGUUUUAUGCUUCUCGAGAUUGUUAGCAACGCGCAAAGAAAUAGAGAUGUUCCAAAAUAAA